CGCAAGUCUGAACCAGCCAUGCCGCGUGAAGGAUGAAGGUCCUYUGGAUUGUAAACUUCUUUUAUCUGGGACGAAACACUCUUAUUCUUAAGAGCUUGACGGUACCAGAGGAAUAAGCACCGGCUAACUCCGUGCCAGCAGCCGCGGUAAUACGGAGGGUGCAAGCGUUAUCCGGAUUCACUGGGUUUAAAGGGUGCGUAGGUGGGAAUGUAAGUCAGUGGUGAAAUCUCCGUGCUUAACDUGGAAACUGCCAUUGAUACUAUGUUUCUUGAAUCUUCCGGAGGUCAGCGGAAUAUGUCAUGUAGCGGUGAAAUGCUUAGAUAUGACAUAGAACACCAAUUGCGAAGGCAGCUGACUACAGGAGCAUUGACACUGAGGCACGAAAGCGUGGGGAUCAAACAGGAUUAGAUACCCUGGUAGUCCACGCCCUAAACUAUGGAUACUCGACAUUUGUGAUACACAAUAAGUGUCUGAGCGAAAGCAUUAAGUAUCCCACCUGG
rnacentral:rRNA from 1 species